AGCAGCCGCGGUAAUUCCAGCUCCAAUAGCGUAUAUUAAAGUUGCUGCAGUUAAAAAGCUCGUAGUCGAAUUUCGGGAUCAAUUUGCUGGUCGUGCUAUGGUACGUACUGGUCUUGUUGGUUCCUCCUUUCCGAGGAGCUGUGAUGUCAUUAAUUUGGUGUCGCGGGGAAUCAGGACUGUUACUUUGAAAAAAUUAGAGUGUUUAAAGCAGGCUAACGCUUGAAUACAUUAGCAUGGGAUAAUGAAAUAGGACGUAUUGAUCCUAUUUUGUUGGUUUCUAGGAUCGACGUAAUGAUUAAUAGGGAUAGUUGGGGGCAUUAGUAUUCAAUUGUCAGAGGUGAAAUUCUUGGAUUUAUUGAAGACUAACUACUGCGAAAGCAUUUGCCAAGGAUGUUUUCAUUAAUCAAGAACGAAAGUUAGGGGAUCGAAGACGAUCAGAUACCGUCGUAGUCUUAACCAUAAACUAUGCCGACUAGGGAUCGGAUGAUAAAUUUUUAAUAAAUCAUUCGGCGCCUUACGG
rnacentral:rRNA from 1 species